GUUUUCUUUGCUUUUAUAUAGAUUAUGUGUGUUUAUUUAUAUUUAAAAAUAGGUCAAAUUUUUUUAUUUAAGUUUUAAAUAUUCAUUUUUGUAUAAAAUUUAUGUUUGUGACAGGGAUUAGAUACCCCACUAACGUAUUUUGUAGUAUUAUCUUAGUUUAUUAACUAAAAUGGUUUGGCAGUGAGUGAUUCUUUUUAGGGGAAGGUGUGGUGUAAAGGAUGUUCCGCCUAUUAAUUUACUUUUAUUAUGUUGGUGUAUAUCUGGUUUAAUAUUAUUGUUGAAUAAUAUUAGUUUGUGUAAUUUUAUUAGUUAAGCCAAGUCUAUGUGCUGCUUAUAGAAGUAGUCAUGCGUUACUUUAAUAAAGUUUUAAUUGUAAGUACUAUCAUAUUCAGGACUUAAAAGUAAUGUUAAAUUAAUUUGUUAAUGUGAAAUAAGUUUAGCUCAU
rnacentral:rRNA from 1 species